AAAAAGGUAAAUAUUGAUGUUUUUCAACUAGAGUACAAGAUACAUUAAUAUGUGUAAUUAUGUGGUUGUCUCAUUUUACUAUGUGACAUGUUAGCAUGUUAGGUGUGCAUUGAGUUUAUUUGGAAAAUAUAGGGAUAAUUACGUUUUCAAGAUCAUGCAUGCUUUUAUUGUCAUGCUGAUUGAGUUGCAGUUGAAAAUUUUGAAUGUGAAUCCCAUAAUAGAUGUACUGUACUAUUAUUUCCGAAUAACUAUACCACUUUGAAGCUCGUGACAGUCAUUAAAGGUAGCCAAGGAUAGGGUAUUUGGAGUUUGGCACCUGUAUACGGACAAUGUCAAGAGGUCCCUUGGGACUGCGGAUAGGCACCUGGAAGGCUGUAUAUAGUAGACCAGGCCUUGAAUUUGUAUAUAUAAUAUUCUAAUGUGGCAUCCUUAGUCUCAAUGGGCAACGAUGGAUGCGUUGAUAUUGGUUUGUGUGUAAGAAAAGACCAUGUUAUUUGGAGCUCAUACGGUACCCUAUAAUAAGGAUUUGGGCCCACUUAUGCUUGACAUCCAUCAUUGCAUCAUCAUAUUUACCUAACUUUAUAGUUCAUGCUUUUUAUUUGAGUAGUGCUAUGAGUACAGAAAACUCAUUACAGGAAUAGUAUAGGAUUUGAAAAAUUAAUGACGUGGCAUACAAAAAGCAAAAAAAGAAAAAAACAUAAGGCUGAGAAAGCAAAACGCAGAAAAGGACAGCUUCUCAUUCCACCAUUUCCGCCAAAAUUGGCGUCGAGUCCCGCCACUGAUCGCUCACCCAUAUCCGGCCAAAAUCCGAGCAAUUGAUCGACGCAUCUCCGAGUUGUAUGCAAACAGAAAGUCGAUGCUAUUCUCACCAAGAAUUCCAAAAUUUGCAGUCACCGAUAAUGGCAGACAAAGCUUUUCUGUUUGCAGGCAGCUUGUUAGCAUCGAUGGAGAUGACUGCGGUUGUGAAGGGAGUGCUCACCUCGUAUGCGGUAGUGCUGAUCGACGGUGAUGGUGAGCACAGCGACGGGAAGAUUGGUUUGGGAAAGAAAUUUCGUGGGUGAUUUGGGAGAAAUAGAAGAGACUUUGGAUGUGGGGGAAAUACAGGUGAAGUAUUAUUUUUGUUUUUUUUUUUAUGCAAUGUCAUCAUUAUUUGAAAUCCUACACCUCUAACGAGUUUCCUAUACUCGUAGCAUUUUUGUUUGUAUUUUGUAUUGUUGAUGGCACCAAGAGAAACUAAAACUAUUAGAACAA